UACGGAGGGUGCGAGCGUUGUCCGGAAUCACUGGGCGUAAAGGGCGCGUAGGCGGCCUGAUAAGUAGGGGGGUGAAAUCCUGCGGCUUAACCGCAGGGCUGCCUUCUAAACUGUCAGGCUCGAGCACAGUAGAGGCAGGUGGAAUUCCCGGUGUAGCGGUGGAAUGCGUAGAGAUCGGGAAGAACAUCAGUGGCGAAGGCGGCCUGCUGGGCAGUGGCUGACACUGAGGCGCGACAGCGUGGGGGAGCAAACAGG
rnacentral:rRNA from 1 species